rnacentral:rRNA from 1 species
AAAGAAACCAACAGGGAUUGCCCCAGUAACGGCGAGUGAAGCGGCAAGAGCUCAAAUUUGAAAGCUGGCUCCUUCGGGGUCCGCAUUGUAAUUUGCAGAGGAUGCUUCGGGAGCGGUCCCCAUCUAAGUGCCCUGGAACGGGACGUCAUAGAGGGUGAGAAUCCCGUAUGGGAUGGGGUGUCCGCGCCCGUGUGAAGCUCCUUCGACGAGUCGAGUUGUUUGGGAAUGCAGCUCUAAAUGGGUGGUAAAUUUCAUCUAAAGCUAAAUAUUGGCCGGAGACCGAUAGCGCACAAGUAGAGUGAUCGAAAGAUGAAAAGCACUUUGAAAAGAGAGUUAAAAAGCACGUGAAAUUGUUGAAAGGGAAGCGCUUGCGACCAGACUCGCUCGCGGGGUUCAGCCGGCAUUCGUGCCGGUGUACUUCCCCGCGGGCGGGCCAGCGUCGGUUUGGGCGGUCGGUCAAAGGCCCUCGGAAGGUAACGCCCCCUCGGGGGCGUCUUAUAGCCGAGGGUCCAAUGCGACCUGCCAGGACCGAGGAAGGCGCUUCGGCUCGGACGCUGGCAUAAUGGUCGUAAGCGAC